rnacentral:rRNA from 1 species
AUAGCGUAUAUUAAAGUUGUUGCAGUUAAAAAGCUCGUAGUUGAAUUUUGGGCCCGGUUAAUUGGUCUGCCAUUGGUAUGCACUUAUCGACUGGGCCUUUCCUUCUGGCGAACUAUUGUGCUAUUCAUUUAGUGCGAUAGGGAACCAGGACUUUUACUUUGAAAAAAUUAGAGUGUUUAAAGCAGGCUUACGCUUGAAUACAUUAGCAUGGAAUAAUAGAAUAGGACUUUGGUUUUAUUUUGUUGGUUUCUAAGACCGAAGUAAUGAUUAAUAGGGAUAGUUGGGGGCAUUAGUAUUUAAUCGUCAGAGGUGAAAUUCUUGGAUUGAUUAAAGACUAACUUCUG